CUUCCCAGUGUGUUAUAAUAUACACUUAUACAAUAACAUGUACAGGUGACAGCUGCUGAUAUACUGAGUGUUGAAGAUAAAUAGAUCAUUCUGCCAUUUGUAUGGUUUACUUGAUAGAAGUUGAUCAGUGAUCACAGGAUGCUAUCUAUUUUGUGUUUGGGUGUUUUGUUUGCGGCUACUGAUGGUAAUGUCGAUCUCGCUGCACCUGUGAAGAUAGAUGUAUAUUACGAGACAUUGUGCCCAGAUUCAAAACAUUUUCUUCUAACUCAGCUCAGGCCCACCUACCAUACGUUGAAAGAUAUUGUGGAAAUCAGUUUGGUACCUUACGGAAAAGCUACAGAAAAACAAGAAACAGAUGGUUCCUACACAUUCACCUGUCAACAUGGUAGUAAAGAAUGUUACGGUAACGUCAUACAAGCGUGUGCUAUUAAACAUAUAAAUGAUUUUGAUGUGUACUCGCAAUUUAUUUACUGUAUGGAAGAAGUCAUAUUUACGGAUGGUCCUGAAAAAGCUGCUCGUGAUUGUUCUGUCAAUCAAUCACUGCCCAUAGAUGAUAUUUUGACCUGUGCCAAAGGAAACGAAGGAAUGAUGUUACAACAUGCAUCAAGUAUACAACAAGGCUCGUUAGACCCAAAGUUGGAUUGGGUCCCGUGGGUUGUUAUAAACAAUGUACAUACAGAAAGGAUAAAAAAAUUAUCUGCAAAAAAUCUAUUUGGAUUGGUGUGUCAGACCUAUCAGGGAACCAAACCAGAAGCUUGUAAGCUGAAACCUAUAGGUGUUUAGAGAAGAUAGUUUUAUUAAAACUUGUAUCUCUAUU